rnacentral:lncRNA from 1 species
AUGGCAGGCCCAGGAAGGCUUAAUGAGACUCAGUUCCUAGGCAGAAAUGCCUCUCUUCGCAGCCACAUCAAGGGCUUAGAAAUACUUCUCCUCGGGUGGAGAAGUAAGCAGGAAAGAAUAAGACUUUGUGUGUUCAUCAAAACACGGAUGACCCAUGACUCCCAGAAAAUGCAAGUCCACGGAAUUAGAAACCAGCGUCCGCCAAGCAGGCUGCGGGCAGCAAAGAAAACAACAGAAUACCAGGCUGUGGGGUUGCCUCGUCGUUCCGAAAUGGUGGCCCAGCAUCACGCACGCAACACCUCUGCGAGCCUUUAGUCCCGGAGACAACUUCCUCUUGGCCUCACCCAGAGCCAAGGAAACAGAGACCUGCUUUCAACUCAACUGACAACUGAGAAAAAGAAAUCCUUUCAUUUCUGUUAGAAGCCUCCACCCUCAAGACUAAUCUGUCUACUCACACUCAAGUCACAAAGGUGACUUCCCUGGCUGUCACCUCAGCAGGACCUUGCAAAGGCCCCACAUCCUCUGAUUUCUCUGCCUAUUCCUUCGACAGGUGCACAGCAGUCUAUCUUUCCCUGCAAAAGAAACUUUUCCCAACGCAGUAACCAGCAAUUUUGGCAUUUGGGGCUAGGAAUAUGACAAGUGUCCUUUGCAAAGUGAAAAGUGGGAGGAGAGUGGCCCCCACGUAGGCAAAGCCCCCUCCGUGCACCCUGACAUCGGUGGUAGCUGACACAGACAGAGGGUCACCUUGCCGCCCCAGCCAGACAGCUGCCUUGGGGAGGGAUGACGCAUGGUAAAGCAUUUCCUCGGGAAUUACCGGCUUACAACCUGUACAGUCUUUUAUUUAUUUAUUUCUAAGUUUUAUUUUAUUUAUUUUGGGAGAGCAAAACAGAGUGGGAGAGGAGCAGACGGGGAGAGAGAAAGAGAAUCCUAAACAGGCUCCUGCUGUCAGUGCACAGCCCGAUGCGGGGCCCGAUCCCAUAACCAAGAUCGUGACCUGAGCUGAAGUCAAGAGUCAGACGCUUAACCAACCGAGCCACCCAGGCACCCCUUGUACAGUCUUUUAAAAGCAUUAUUUCAAACGUCCGUAUCAUCUGAAAUUCGGUGUCCUGUAGCAAAGCACAGCCUCCCUGUCCUGAUUUGGGCUUCACACUGUCCAAGAAGGGUUCCCAAUGGACUAUGUGGCCUUGGGUCGGUUCCAGCCUCUCCGCGCACCAGGUUUCCCAUCUUGGGGCAUGAUCACACAUCCCCUCAACUUACACUCACGCGGUAUGACGUGGGCAUGGCCGCAGGGAAAACCAAGGAAAACUUUGUCAAACGGAGCAAGAAAUCAGGGUGCCCAGAGCCAAGUGCUUUUCUGUAAUCUUGGAGCAGGAGAAGGAAUAUGGCAAGAAGCACAGCCAUUAGCUGCCAAACCCACACCCGAGUCUGCCAGGGAUGUUAGGGAUCCCGCACCUGAUCCCCGGCCGCAGACGCUCCUGUAACAACAGGACCGGCUCCACCUGGCAGCACCAGGAGGCACCUGGCUCUGCACGAGUGGUGGGCACGAAUGCAGGUGAGAGCAGGGGGUGGGUGUCAGUGUGGGUGAGGGGCAGGGCCCAUCACUGUACUCCUCGGCCCCGCCUCUAGCUUAAAUAAUAGUAAGUUUUAUGGGAAGCAUCAGAUGCUGCGUUGUAAUAAUGUUUGUUUUGAGAAGUGGUCGCAGACAUUGAGACGUGCAGAGUCUCCACUUUCAAAAAAAUUUUUUUAAAUGUUUACUUUAUUUUUGAGAGAGAGAGAGACAGAGCACGAGCCUGACGCGGAGUCUGAUACUUAACUGACUGAGCCACCCAGACGCCCCCAGAGUCUCCACCUUCCAAGGCAGCUCCCGGGACAGGCUACCCGGGCAGGUCCAGCCCCGUAUGACCAGUCAGUAUGUACGGAUGGUCCCAUCCCCCCACCCGCAACCUUUCCUGAACCAUGAAUACUCCGACCCUGUCUAAUUCACAAGAAAUCCAUUCAUCUUCAUGGGGCCCCCUUCCCCUCCUCACCCCAAGAAGUCCACACCGUCUGAGCAGAGAAAACCCUGAGGUCUAAAGAGUCUUCGCUCCUGGGGCGCCUGGGUGGCUCCGUCGGUUAAGACCAACUCUUAAUUUCGGCUCAGGUCAUGAUCUCGCCCUUGAUGAUUUCGAGCCCCGCAUCGGGCUCUGCACGAACAGUUCUGCACUGUUCGUGCAGAGCCUGCUGGGGAUUCUCUCUCCUUCUCUUUCUCUCCCUCUGCCCUCCCCCACUCACGUGCUCUCUCUGUCUCUCAAAUUAAAUAGAUAAACUUUUUAAAAAACCUUAAAAAAAUAAAUUCAUUUAAUAAAAAUAAAAAGGCUUUGCC